CAGAAAUUUUUUUUUAUUUACAAUAAAUGUUUAGAUUAUUAGUUUAAUCAUUUCUGA
rnacentral:tRNA from 1 species